CGAGCGGAUGAAGGGAGCUUGCUCCUGGAUUCAGCGGCGGACGGGUGAGUAAUGCCUAGGAAUCUGCCUGGUAGUGGGGGAUAACGUCCGGAAACGGGCGCUAAUACCGCAUACGUCCUGAGGGAGAAAGUGGGGGAUCUUCGGACCUCACGCUAUCAGAUGAGCCUAGGUCGGAUUAGCUAGUUGGUGGGGUAAAGGCCUACCAAGGCGACGAUCCGUAACUGGUCUGAGAGGAUGAUCAGUCACACUGGAACUGAGACACGGUCCAGACUCCUACGGGAGGCAGCAGUGGGGAAUAUUGGACAAUGGGCGAAAGCCUGAUCCAGCCAUGCCGCGUGUGUGAAGAAGGUCUUCGGAUUGUAAAGCACUUUAAGUUGGGAGGAAGGGCAGUAAGUUAAUACCUUGCUGUUUUGACGUUACCAACAGAAUAAGCACCGGCUAACUUCGUGCCAGCAGCCGCGGUAAUACGAAGGGUGCAAGCGUUAAUCGGAAUUACUGGGCGUAAAGCGCGCGUAGGUGGUUCAGCAAGUUGGAUGUGAAAUCCCCGGGCUCAACCUGGGAACUGCAUCCAAAACUACUGAGCUAGAGUACGGUAGAGGGUGGUGGAAUUUCCUGUGUAGCGGUGAAAUGCGUAGAUAUAGGAAGGAACACCAGUGGCGAAGGCGACCACCUGGACUGAUACUGA
rnacentral:rRNA from 1 species